rnacentral:rRNA from 1 species
GACAGAGGGUGCAAACGUUGCUCGGAAUUACUGGGCGUAAAGCGCGUGUAGGCGGUUUCGCAAGUCAGGUGUGAAAGCCCGGGGCUCAACCCCGGAAGUGCACUUGAUACUACGGAGCUGGAGUACUGAAGAGGAGAGCGGAAUUCCCGGUGUAGAGGUGAAAUUCGUAGAUAUCGGGAGGAACACCAGUGGCGAAGGCGGCUCUCUGGGCAGAUACUGACGCUGAGACGCGAAAGCGUGGGUAGCAAACAGG